AGUCACUGACAUUAGACUACCCCCGUAGUCCAAGGUGUAAACGCUGCAGACUUGGUGUUGGAGGCCCUUUGGGGGCAUUCAGUGCCGGAGAGAAGUUGUUAAGUCUGCUACUUGGGAGUACGUCCGCAAGGAUGAAACUUAAAGGAAUUGGCGGGGGAGCACCGCAACGGGAGGAGCGUGCGGUUUAAUUGGCUUCAACACCGUAAAACUCACCAGGGAAGACUGUUACAUGAAGGCCGAGAUGAAGACUCUGCUAGAUUUUCAG
rnacentral:rRNA from 1 species